rnacentral:rRNA from 1 species
AUGUUUCCUAUGAUUUAUCUCCUCAUUGAGUUGGCAUUGCUAGUACCAGUAGUGACGAAAACAAUUACAAGAGCCUUCUCAGCAACGAAAAUCCUUAAGACCGAGUUGAGCAACAUGAUGUCCGGUGGUUGGCACUGCUAUUCGGUGGUGUGUUACAUUGAGCGAAGAGGGAUAUUCAAAAGUCUUCAUCAUGGUAAAUUAAGAAAGAUUUUCAAAAAGAUGGUAGGGCAUUACCAUUGCCUGGGUCUUCUAGACAUCAUUGAAAGUUUCAUUAUUGGUAUGUUUUCGAUUAAAGAGUAA